GAGCUGUGGGAGGGAUUCAUCAUGAUGGUUGCUUUACUCUCUCUCGCCUUGUUGAGCCAACUCCUCUGAAAAGAGUCACAGACUACGCAGAAGAAAACCAAGGCCGGGGAGGGGCCGUCACUUGCCCAGCGUCGUGCUAGAUCUCGGGCCUCCGCCUCUGGCUGUGUAGUGCUCCCCACUAAGCCCCUCGUCCCCGGAGUGCCACCUGCAUCCACGCUAACUAGGAUGCUGGCUGCAACUCGUGUUUCCCGCGGCCGGUGUCGCGGGCUACCUCCUCCUUGGAACUCGAAAAGUGAAAGUGUCCGGAACAAACAGACGCCGAGAGGGAAACGAAAAAAUCUGGAGAAAGUCAUCUCUCAGUGUUAAACUGUAAAAAAAUAUAAACUGUGUGUAGCAUACCCUUUGACCCAGUAAUCAUAUUUCGGGGAAAGAACCCCUUAGAAAUUAAAGCAUCAAUUCAUGAGGAUGUUUGUGCAAGGAUCAUCGUUGCAGCAUUGUUUGUAGUGGGAAAAAAAAUCCAUCAGAUGAGAAAUAGCUGGAAAAUUAUUGUUCAUACUUUCUUUGGAACCCUAUGCAGCUAUUAAAAUGAAUGAGCUAGAUCCACAUGUAUUUACCAAGGUUAAGGUACAUGACUUAUGUUUAAAUGAAAAACGAAGUUGCAAAGAAACAUGUUUAGUGGAAUCUCAACGUGUUAGAAAAAAAAAAGGAAAAAGAAACACCUCUAUAUAUGUUUGUGUUUGAGGAUAGAAAUUCUGCAGAAGGACACCCAAGGCUGUGAACAUUGGAUAUCUCGGAGUGAAACUGCAGGCAGGCAAG
rnacentral:lncRNA from 1 species